GAUCUUGGAGGGGAUUGGGUGUAUUCGAUGCCACUGGACCGAUUUGGCUCCAACUAGAUCGCCGGUGUGAAGGGGGCAAUUAGGGUUUCGAAGUUCUGGGCUAGGAGAAGCAUCGGAUUCCUAUGGAUUGUCCUUGUGGCCAAUCAUUGCUUUCUCCUUUGUGAUCCGAUUGAAUCCAUUGAGUGCUUGGACGUCUCCUUCUUGCUGUGAUUGAGGUAUCAGUUGAAGUGGGGA